rnacentral:rRNA from 1 species
UACAGAGGGUGCAAGCGUUGUUCGGAAUUAUUGGGCGUAAAGAGCUUGUAGGCGGUUUGUCGCGUCUGCCGUGAAAAUUCGAGGCUCAACCUCGAACUUGCGGUGGGUACGGGCAGACUAGAGUGUGGUAGGGGAGACUGGAAUUCCUGGUGUAGCGGUGAAAUGCGCAGAUAUCAGGAGGAACACCGAUGGCGAAGGCAGGUCUCUGGGCCACUACUGACGCUGAGAAGCGAAAGCAUGGGGAGCGAACAGG